rnacentral:misc_RNA from 1 species
UGGCUCUCGCAUCGAUGAAGAACGCAGCGAAAUGCGAUAAGUAAUGUGAAUUGCAGAAUUCAGUGAAUCAUCGAAUCUUUGAACGCACCUUGCACCCCUCGGUAUUCCGAGGGGUAUGCCUGUUCGAGUAUCAUUAUAUUCUCAACCACCCAGUUUCAUUUCUGGAUGGCUUGGAUUUCGGAGCGUGCAGGCCCGUGUCAUCGGGUUCUGCUCCUCUUCAGAUGCAUUAGUGGAUCAAAGCUCGCUCAGAGUCUGAACCCGGCGUGAUAAUUAUCUACGUCGAGGAAAGGCCAGAAGCUUCGCUCUGCCAUCAGAAACCGUCCCCUCUGGGGACAUUAUACUCUUUCAUUCGUUCUCGAAUCAGGCAGGACUACCCGCUGA